AGCGAACGCUGGCGGCAGGCCUAACACAUGCAAGUCGAGCGCCCGUAGCAAUACGGGAGCGGCAGACGGGAGAGUAACACGUGGGAACGUACCCUUCAGUUCGGAGUAACCCAGGGAAACUUGGACUAAUACCGAAUACGUCCGUAAGGAGAAAGAUUUAUCGCUGAAGGAUCGGCCCGCGUCUGAUUAGCUUGUUGGUGAGGUAACGGCUCACCAAGGCGACGAUCAGUAGCUGGCUGAGAGGAUGAUCAGCCUCACUGGGACUGAGACACGGCCCAGACUCCUACGGGAGGCAGCAGGUGGGGAAUAUUGGACAAUGGGCGCAAGCCUGAUCCAGCCAUGCCGCGUGGAUGAUGAAGGCCCUAGGGUUGUAAAGUCCUUUCGGCGGGGAAGAUAAUGACGGUACCCGCAGAAGAACGCCCCGGCUAACUUCGUGCCAGCCGCCGCUGUAAG
rnacentral:rRNA from 1 species